ensembl:lncRNA
UUAAUAACUACCACAACUUUAAAAAAAGAGAAACAUGUAGUAUACGCUUAAAUCAAAAUUGUUUAUAUCAGUUUAGUAUGAAUUACGAAUUUUUAAAAAAUUAUAAAAAAAUAGAUGGAUAUUUUCUUUUCAAUUUUGGAAACUUUCAUGGUAUGACUGAUUAGUAUUUUUAUGAACUAUUCUUAAAAGUUGUAUUAGUAUAAUAUCAACUAUAUGUUAUUAUUUAUAAGAAAUAACAGUACUGACAGUUUAUGCGCCUAUUCAUUUUUAUAUUUACUAAUUCAUUCUCAUUUGAUUAGAAAAUAAAAGUAUCAUAGAAAAACGUGCCUAUAUAUAUAUUUUGGAUUACCUGAGUAAAAAUUAUUAUAUCACAUACACGACAAGAAAUGAAAUUAACUGUGAUGGUUGGGGAAGCGAAAAUAGAAGUUGCUAUUCGUGUUAUAAAAAAAAACUGUUAGAGAAUCUUGAUACUAUCAAUUUUGAUUAUGUAAAAGAAAAAAUGGGUGAAAAAUCAUUUCCAGAUACAUGCAAAGAAGAAAUAGACAGAAAAUUCAAAGAAUUAGGGAUAUUGAAGUUUUUAGUCUUAAAAAUGUUUCAAAAUAGCCAUGAAGACGUGAAGGAUAAUAUAAAAUACAAAUAUCCUUUAAAAAUUGUUAUUACUGGAAAGAUAAAAAAGGGUAUAUAAUAAAUGACAGUAAAUAGCACAUAUUAGUAUUGUGCAGUAGUAAUAUACAGUAGUAGUAAUAUACAAUAGUAGUAAUAUACAAUAGUAGUAUUAUUAAUAU